UUCCAUGAUGAUAUCUCACUUUACUUUUUUUCUGGUACCUCUUAUGUCAGAAGCUGUGCCUCUUCUGGUCCAGCUUCAAUGAUCUUAAUGGACUUCUGAUU
rnacentral:snoRNA from 1 species